CUGAAGGUCGUGGAGCGGCCUAAGGUGAUCUACAAUAAAAUAUCUAGUAAGUACGUGAUGUGGAUGCAUAUCGAUGAUGCGGAAUACAGCAAGGCCGCGAUCGGUGUCGCGGUGAGCAGUUCCCCGACCGGGCCUUUCGUGUACCUAGGCAGCGCGAGGCCCAACGGCUUCGACAGCCGCGACAUGACGGUGUUCAAGGACGACGACGGCACGGCGUAUCUGAUCUACGCCUCGGUUGGGAAUAAGGAGAUCCACAUUAGUCCUUUGAGUGAGGAUUAUCUGGAGGUGGCGAACGUGACGGCGAGGGCGCUGAUCGGGAUGCACCGCGAGGCGCCGGCGGUGUUCAAGCACGGAGGGGUGUACUACAUGGUGACGUCCGGGUGCAGCGGGUGGCUGCCGAACGAGGCGCUCGUGCACGAGGCGGAGUCGAUGCUCGGGCCGUGGGAGACCAUCGGGAACCCCUGCGUGGGGGCCAACAAGGCGUACCGCGCCGCCACGUUCUACUCGCAAGGCAGCUUCGUGCUGCCGAUGCCGCGCGGCGACAGCGACGGUGAAGGUGGCCGGGGUUUGUUUAUUUUCAUGGCGGAUAGGUGGAAUUCGGCGGAUUUGCGUGAUUCGAGGUAUUUGUGGCUGCCGUUGACCGUGAAGGCAAGGUAUGAGAGGCACACGCCGUUUCCGCUGUGGUCGAGAGUGGCCGUGUUUUGGCAUGUGAGAUGGAGGGCUCCUAUUAAGGAGAAUGGAGAGACUUAUUAUGUAGCUCAGUACUUUCAGUCUUUAGAUGAUUUGUGAAACACAAGAAUCUUGCUCUCUGUUUUUAACGGAGAUUUAGUGUACCACACUUUAUAUCCCACUUUAUGUACCACUUUCAAUUUUAUUUAAUUUCUUAUGAAUAGUUUCUUCAAUUUCAAUUUUAUAUGCUUUAGUUUAAUUUUAUGAUUAUUAACUAGGGUUUAUUCCAUCAAUCUAGGGUAUAUAAUUAUUUUUUAUCAUUUAAUUUCACUUUUAUUAGCUAAUAUAUAAUAGGUCGAUAAAUUCAAAAUCAUGGUAUAUACUUUUUAAUAAAUUUAAUUUUUUGAAAUAAAAUUUCAAUAUAAUUCAUAGUAUUAUAAUAAAUUUUAUUUUUAUAAAAAAUAUUUUUAAAAUAAUAGAUAUAAGCAUGAGACACAAUGACACACAUAAAAUUGUGGGACACUGGAUCUCAUCCAGUUUUUAACUGCAUCUUUCAUCUGCUUCUUCUUUUUUUUUCUUUUGAUAAAUUAGAUAAGUAAAUAAAGAAAUUUAAAUACCGCGUGAUGGAGGACUCGAACUCAAUACUUCAAGUCUUAGGCAUUAACCUUCUACCGUUGAAUCAACACAUGCACAUAUUUUUAAUCUUUUCUUUCACUUAUUGUGUGGUUUACAAUUUACAAGUAAAUAAUUAAUAAUUAAUUAAUCAAUAAAUUAACUUAUUAUUAUUAUUAUUAUUAUUAUUAUUAUUAUUAUUAUUAUUAUUAUUAUUAUUAUUAUUAUUAUUAUAUAUUCCUUUCGUCAUAUAAAAGUAUGGCACUUUUGGUGGGCACAUGUAUUAAAAAAAUUGGUGGUGAUUUUUAUGUAGUGGAAGAAUGGUUUCACCAAAAUUUGAAAUAAGUGAUUGAAAUUGAAUUAAUAAUGAUUUUUUUUUAGAUAAUAUGUGUUUAAGGAUAAAAGAUAAGAAAAAGUAGUGGGAUGAUGUCUUAAAAUGGAACGUGACAUAUUUUUCGUGAACGAAUGGAGUACUAUAAUUUAAUUUUAAUUAUUUUUUUACUAUUUUAUGUAACUAUAUAAAUACUAUCGUGCAUCACUCAAGGUAGCGUCACUAUUUAAAAUUAAAAUACUAAAUUUAAUUCAGUCUCUCUCAAAUUCGGUUUGAAAUAUUUUUUUAAAAAUUUGAUUAACUUGUCAGUUCGAUGAGAUAUUUUUAAAUCGAAUAAAAUCACAAUCUGAAUUAUAUAUAUAAUAUUAGUUUUACCUAAAUAAAUUAGUUCUUAUUCUAAUUUCCUAAAAUUAUAACCCUAACCGAUCCUUAAAAAAUUAGAUGAAAAGUUGCAUCUUCAGUUAAAAUAAAAUAAUAAAAAAUAGAUUGUUAGCCACACAAGUUUAAAAUAUAUUCACUCUGUUUCAUCUCACUUGGUUUAACCCAAAUGGGAUCCUCUGUUCCAAAAUAUAGUGUGUACCACAUGUACCACUCUUCAUUUCUUUAUAUUUUUAAAUUAUUUCUAUUCAAAUUUAAUUUAGUGCUUUUAUAUAAUACUAGAACGUCCAUUCGUGCGAUCACUCAUCGAUUUAGGGUUAUAUUUAAAUAAAUAUAAAAUAUAUUUGAAUUAGUAAUAGAUUAUUUGGGUUCAUUAAUUCAAAGUUAAGGUAUAUAAUUUUUUAAAUUUAAUUUUCAAUGAUAAAUACUAAUUAAAGUUUAUAAUAUAAUAAUAAUUUUUAUUUUUAUAAAAAAUAAUUUAUAAAACAAAGAAAUGAAGAGUGGUACACGUGGUACACACAAUAUUUUGGGACAGAGGAUCUCAUAUGUGGUUUAACCUACUUAAACUGUGUAAGAUAUAACUAUAAAUAAUUUUCAUAUAUGGGGUUCCAAGACACCGGCGGCGACAACGGCGGAUAGCUAGAGAGAAACCUUUGCAGGCGUGUGUGUUAAUUGGACAGUCAAUUUAGUUUGAACAAAAUUGAUAUGUGCUUUAAAUCUUGGACUUACAUAUUUAUUGAGGACAAUCCAAAAUAUAUAAUACAACCUUAUGAAAUUAAAUAAACACUGCCUAGUGCUUAUGGCUACGAAGAAAGUGCAUAUAAAAAAAACUGAAAAACGAAACUUGCUUCUUGUUAAUACGAAACUUAAUUGUUUGAAAAAUUAACUGCCUACAUAUCCAGGAAUGGGAUUCUCUGUCCCACAAUUUAGGGGGGUGUAUUCGUUGUGGAAUUUGAUGGAUUUCUAUGGAUUUUAAAAGUCUGGGUGUAUUCGUUCAAGACUUUUAAAAGUCUGCAGAAAUCUGGGUGUAUUCGUUCAAGACUUUUAAAAGUCCAUAUAAAUCUGAGUGUAUUCGUUCAAGACUUUUAAAAAUCCAUACAAAUCUAGGUGUAUUCGUUAUUCCAUUGACUUAAAAUCCGGAAUGACUUCCAUGGAUUUCAUCCAAAAAAUACACACGACGAAAUCCGGCCAAGAACCACGAGAAUUGAAAUCCAUGAAAUUUUAAACGAGCGCUGAGUUCCAGCGCCUGCGGCCAAGAAGCCAGCGAGCGCUGGAACUCAGCGGGCGCUGGGUAUAACAUAGCCCACUUUUGGCUUAUGUUUUUGCUUACAUUGUGCCUCGAAGCUUUUGGUGCUGUGUGAUGUGCUUUUGAUAAGUGAUGGCUGACAAGCUUGUGCAAAUACAUAAUUAUUAAUGGACCGACUGCAUGGCUGACAAGCUUGUGCAAAUGUCUUUCAGGUGGCAGCCUUUUUUGAUGCCACAAGGCCCACAAUUGCAACAGAUGCUGAUAUUAAGCUAGCUGCGAAUUGGAUAUUAAGCUCGCUGGAACCCAGCGUCCGCUGGGUUUCCAGUGGUCGUUGGGUUUCCAGCCGUGCUGGGACUCAGCAGGCGUUGACAUCAUGGAUUUCAAUUCCAGAAUUAUUCCCUAAAUUCUUCGAAAAUCAGUGAAAAUCGGGGUGAAAUCCAACCAAGAAUUCUUUGAAAAUCGUCUGGAAUCUAUGUGAAUUCCAUGGAAUUUAAAUUCCAUGGACUUUUUAAAGUCUGUGUAAAUCCACAACGAAUACACCCCCCUUAGUGUGUACCAUUGUGUACUACUCUUAAUUUAUCUAUUUUAUAAUUGUUUAUUAUAAAAAUAAAAAAUAUUAUUAUAUUAUGAACUCGAAUUAAUAUAUCACUAAAAAUUGAAAUUUUAAAAAAUUAUAUAUCCUAACUUUGAAUUAAUUAAUUAUCUCAAAUAAUCAAUUAUUAAUUAAAUAAAUAUAAAAAAAUAAUUAUAAAUUCUAAUUAGAUGAGUGAACCCUUGUUAAUUAUCUUUCUAUUAUCUUUUUAUCUUGUUAACGCAUUACACCCCAACAAGUUUGGUAAGGUUUGAUUUUUAUUUUUAUAAGGUUGGAAUUAAGGUUUGACUUAAAAAAGUAUCAAAACAAAUGAAAAUAACGAAUUUCCGAGCUUCCAAGCAAUCCUCCCUCCUUGGCAUCGAGAUUUUAAAAAUGGCAACUGGAAUUCAUUGUUUAAUCAUUCUUGGGCAUCAAGAACUGCCGCGGAAUCUGCUAAAUCAACAUGUCCAAUAAUAAAUCUUGACUUUCAUAAAACCAGGCAAGCACAGCUAAAACAAUCACACACAUGGCCGGCAUCCGCUGCUUGUGGCGGUGGGCCGUCGUUCUCUGCGGCGUCGCCGUCCUCCUCAUCCUCCAAAUCUACUCCUUCUCCGCCCAAUACAAUAAGAUAGCGCGCGUGUUGGCACUGCAGGCCCCCCUUCUAAGCUUCGAAGAACUCGAGCAAGUGGAGUAUGUCACUCUCCUGCCGCCCUAUGGCCUCAAACACCCUCAAACGAUCAACCUCAACGACGAGUUCCUCAACGAAUCCUCCACCGCUCGCACCAUUUUCUUCCCCAGCUCUUGGCAGGGCACCCUCGAUCCAAGGAAGACCAGCAUAAACACCACCAACCACUUCUACUUGCCGGAAAAACUUUGGCUCGACACCGACGGGAACCCGAUCCAAGCCCACGGCGGCGGCAUCCUCUUCGAUGAAAAAUCCGAGACCUAUUACUGGUAUGGUGAGCACAAAGACGGCCCGACUUACCACUCCCAAGCCACUGGCACCGCACGCGUCGACGUCAUCGGCGUCGGCUGCUACUCCUCCAAGAAUCUCUGGGCGUGGAAGUUCGAAGGCGUUGUGCUGGCGGCCAAGGAGACCGACGCCGCCCACGACCUGCACAAGCUGAAGGUCGUGGAGCGGCCUAAGGUGAUCUACAAUAAAAUAUCUAGUAAGUACGUGAUGUGGAUGCAUAUCGAUGAUGCGGAAUACAGCAAGGCCGCGGUCGGUGUCGCGGUGAGCAGUUCCCCGACCGGGCCUUUCGUGUACCUAGGCAGCGCGAGGCCCAACGGCUUCGACAGCCGCGACAUGACGGUGUUCAAGGACGACGAC
rnacentral:lncRNA from 1 species